UACGUAGGGUCCGAGCGUUGUCCGGAAUUACUGGGCGUAAAGAGCUCGUAGGUGGUUUGUCGCGUUGUUCGUGAAAACUCACAGCUCAACUGUGGGCGUGCGGGCGAUACGGGCAGACUAGAGUACUGCAGGGGAGACUGGAAUUCCUGGUGUAGCGGUGAAAUGCGCAGAUAUCAGGAGGAACACCGGUGGCGAAGGCGGCGAUCUGGGUAGAUACUGACGCUGAGGUGCGAAAGCGUGGGGGAGCAAACAGG
rnacentral:rRNA from 1 species